UAGCAAGAUAGAAUUCGGAUCCUCUGGUUGAUCCUGCCAGAGGUCACUGCUAUCGGGGUUCGAUUAAGCCAUGCGAGUCGAGAGGGUUCGGCCCUCGGCGUACUGCUCAGUAACACGUGGAUAACCUGCCCUAGGGGAGGGGAUAACCCCGGGAAACUGGGGAUAAUACCCUAUAGGUUACAGAUGCUGGAAUGCCCUGUAACCAAAAGCUCCGGCGCCCUAGGAUGGAUCUGCGGCCGAUUAGGUUGUUGUUGGGGUAACGGCCCAACAAGCCCGUAAUCGGUACGGGUUGUGGGAGCAAGAGCCCGGAGUUGGAUUCUGAGACACGAAUCCAGGCCCUACGGGGCGCAGCAGGCGCGAAACCUUUACAAUGCGGGCAACCGUGAUAAGGGAACCUCGAGUGCCUGUAAACGCAGGCUGUUCAGGUGUUUAAAACGCACCUGGAGAAAGGGCCGGGCAAGACCGGUGCCAGCCGCCGCGGUAAUACCGGCGGCUCGAGUGGUGGCCGCUUUUAUUGGGCUUAAAGCGUUCGUAGCUGGGUUGUUAAGUCUCUUGGGAAAUCUGGCGGCUUAACCGUCAGGCGUCUAAGGGAUACUGGCAAUCUUGGAACCGGGAGAGGUGAGGGGUACUUCGGGGGUAGGGGUGAAAUCCUGUAAUCCUCGAGGGACCACCUGUGGCGAAGGCGCCUCACCAGAACGGCUUCGACAGUGAGGGACGAAAGCUGGGGGAGCAAACCGGAUUAGAUACCCGGGUAGUCCCAGCCGUAAACGAUGCGCGUUAGGUGUAUCGGUGACCACGAGUUACCGAGGUGCCGAAGGGAAACCGUGAAACGCGCCGCCUGGGAAGUACGGUCGCAAGGCUGAAACUUAAAGGAAUUGGCGGGGGAGCACCACAACGGGUGGAGCCUGCGGUUUAAUUGGACUCAACGCCGGGAAGCUCACCGGAUAAGACAGCUGAAUGAUUGCCGGGCUGAAGACUCUGCAUGACUAGCUGAGAGGAGGUGCAUGGCCGUCGUCAGUUCGUACUGUGAAGCAUCCUGUUAAGUCAGGCAACGAGCGAGACCCACGCCAACAGUUGCCAGCAUGGUCUCUGGACUGAUGGGGACACUGUUGGGACCGCCUCUGCUAAAGAGGAGGAAGGAAUGGGCAACGGUAGGUCAGCAUGCCCCGAAUUAUCCGGGCUACACGCGGGCUACAAUGGGCAGGACAAUGGGUAUCGACACCGAGAGGUGAAGGCAAUCUCCUAAACCUGUCCUUAGUUCGGAUUGUGGGCUGCAACUCGCCCACAUGAAGCUGGAAUCCGUAGUAAUCGCGCUUCAAAAUAGCGCGGUGAAUAUGUCCCUGCUCCUUGCACACACCGCCCGUCAAACCACCCGAGUGGGGUUUGGAUGAGGUUGCGGUUGUUGCCGCAGUCGAAUCUAGGUUCCGCAAGGGGGGUUAAGUCGUAACAAGGUAUCCGUGAUAUCCUCGAGUACUUCUAGAAGUCUCAUACAUCCGCA
rnacentral:rRNA from 1 species